AACGAACGCUGGCGGCAUGCCUAACACAUGCAAGUCGAACGAGAUCUUCGGGUCUAGUGGCGCACGGGUGCGUAACGCGUGGGAAUCUGCCCUUUGGUUCGGAAUAACAGUUGGAAACGACUGCUAAUACCGGAUGAUGACGAAAGCCCAAAGAUUUAUCGCCAGAGGAUGAGCCCGCGUAGGAUUAGCUAGUUGGUGUGAUAAAGGCGCACCAAGGCGACGAUCCUUAGCUGGUCUGAGAGGAUGAUCAGCCACACUGGGACUGAGACACGGCCCAGACUCCUACGGGAGGCAGCAGUGGGGAAUAUUGGACAAUGGGCGAAAGCCUGAUCCAGCAAUGCCGCGUGAGUGAUGAAGGCCUUAGGGUUGUAAAGCUCUUUUACCCGGGAUGAUAAUGACAGUACCGGGAGAAUAAGCUCCGGCUAACUCCGUGCCAGCAGCCGCAGUAA
rnacentral:rRNA from 1 species